rnacentral:rRNA from 1 species
UGGGGAAUAUUGGACAAUGGGCGAAAGCCUGAUCCAGCAAUGCCGCGUGAGUGAUGAAGGCCCUAGGGUUGUAAAGCUCUUUUACCCGGGAAGAUAAUGACUGUACCGGGAGAAUAAGCCCCGGCUAACUCCGUGCCAGCAGCCGCGGUAAUACGGAGGGGGCUAGCGUUGUUCGGAAUUACUGGGCGUAAAGCGCACGUAGGCGGCUUUGUAAGUUAGGGGUGAAAGCCUGGAGCUCAACUCCAGAAUUGCCUUUAAGACUGCAUCGCUUGAACGUCGGAGAGGUGAGUGGAAUUCCGAGUGUAGAGGUGAAAUUCGUAGAUAUUCGGAAGAACACCAGUGGCGAAGGCGGCUCACUGGACGACUGUUGACGCUGAGGUGCGAAAGCGUGGGGAGCAAACA